CCUACAACGGCUUCCUGAAGUAGGCAAAUUUCACAAUGGAGCA
rnacentral:ncRNA from 1 species